rnacentral:rRNA from 1 species
UCAAGUGAAGAAGCGCAUACGGUGGAUGCCUUGGCAGUCAGAGGCGAUGAAAGACGUGGUAGCCUGCGAAAAGCUUCGGGGAGUCGGCAAACAGACUUUGAUCCGGAGAUCUCUGAAUGGGGGAACCCACCUAGGAUAACCUAGGUAUCUUGUACUGAAUCCAUAGGUGCAAGAGGCGAACCAGGGGAACUGAAACAUCUAAGUACCCUGAGGAAAAGAAAUCAACCGAGAUUCCCUUAGUAGUGGCGAGCGAACGGGGAUUAGCCCUUAAGCUUCAUUGAUUUUAGCGGAACGCUCUGGAAAGUGCGGCCAUAGUGGGUGAUAGCCCCGUACGCGAAAGGAUCUUUGAAGUGAAAUCGAGUAGGACGGAGCACGAGAAACUUUGUCUGAACAUGGGGGGACCAUCCUCCAAGGCUAAAUACUACUGACUGACCGAUAGUGAACCAGUACCGUGAGGGAAAGGCGAAAAGAACCCCGGAGAGGGGAGUGAAAUAGAACCUGAAACCGUAUGCGUACAAGCAGUGGGAGCCUACUUGUUAGGUGACUGCGUACCUUUUGUAUAAUGGGUCAGCGACUUAUAUUCAGUGGCAAGCUUAACCGUAUAGGGUAGGCGUAGCGAAAGCGAGUCUUAAUAGGGCGUUUAGUCGCUGGGUAUAGACCCGAAACCGGGCGAUCUAUCCAUGAGCAGGUUGAAGGUUAGGUAACACUGACUGGAGGACCGAACCCACUCCCGUUGAAAAGGUAGGGGAUGACUUGUGGAUCGGAGUGAAAGGCUAAUCAAGCUCGGAGAUAGCUGGUUCUCCUCGAAAGCUAUUUAGGUAGCGCCUCAUGUAUCACUCUGGGGGGUAGAGCACUGUUUCGGCUAGGGGGUCAUCCCGACUUACCAAACCGAUGCAAACUCCGAAUACCCAGAAGUGCCGAGCAUGGGAGACACACGGCGGGUGCUAACGUCCGUCGUGAAAAGGGAAACAACCCAGACCGCCAGCUAAGGUCCCAAAGUUGUGGUUAAGUGGUAAACGAUGUGGGAAGGCUUAGACAGCUAGGAGGUUGGCUUAGAAGCAGCCAUCCUUUAAAGAAAGCGUAAUAGCUCACUAGUCGAGUCGGCCUGCGCGGAAGAUGUAACGGGGCUCAAACCACACACCGAAGCUGCGGGUGUCACGUAAGUGACGCGGUAGAGGAGCGUUCUGUAAGCCUGUGAAGGUGAGUUGAGAAGCUUGCUGGAGGUAUCAGAAGUGCGAAUGCUGACAUGAGUAACGACAAUGGGUGUGAAAAACCCCCACGCCGAAAGACCAAGGGUUCCUGCGCAACGUUAAUCGACGCAGGGUUAGUCGGUUCCUAAGGCGAGGCUGAAAAGCGUAGUCGAUGGGAAACAGGUUAAUAUUCCUGUACUUCUGGUUACUGCGAUGGAGGGACGGAGAAGGCUAGGCCAGCUUGGCGUUGGUUGUCCAAGUUUAAGGUGGUAGGCUGAAAUCUUAGGUAAAUCCGGGGUUUCAAGGCCGAGAGCUGAUGACGAGUCGUCUUUUAGAUGACGAAGUGGUUGAUGCCAUGCUUCCAAGAAAAGCUUCUAAGCUUCAGGUAACCAGGAACCGUACCCCAAACCGACACAGGUGGUCGGGUAGAGAAUACCAAGGCGCUUGAGAGAACUCGGGUGAAGGAACUAGGCAAAAUGGCACCGUAACUUCGGGAGAAGGUGCGCCGGCUAGGGUGAAGGAUUUACUCCGUAAGCUCUGGCUGGUCGAAGAUACCAGGCCGCUGCGACUGUUUAUUAAAAACACAGCACUCUGCAAACACGAAAGUGGACGUAUAGGGUGUGACGCCUGCCCGGUGCCGGAAGGUUAAUUGAUGGGGUUAGCGCAAGCGAAGCUCUUGAUCGAAGCCCCGGUAAACGGCGGCCGUAACUAUAACGGUCCUAAGGUAGCGAAAUUCCUUGUCGGGUAAGUUCCGACCUGCACGAAUGGCGUAACGAUGGCGGCGCUGUCUCCACCCGAGACUCAGUGAAAUUGAAAUCGCUGUGAAGAUGCAGUGUAUCCGCGGCUAGACGGAAAGACCCCGUGAACCUUUACUGUAGCUUUGCACUGGACUUUGAGCCUGCUUGUGUAGGAUAGGUGGGAGGCUUUGAAGCGUGGACGCCAGUUCGCGUGGAGCCAUCCUUGAAAUACCACCCUGGCAUGCUUGAGGUUCUAACUCUGGUCCGUGAUCCGGAUCGAGGACAGUGUAUGGUGGGCAGUUUGACUGGGGCGGUCUCCUCCUAAAGAGUAACGGAGGAGUACGAAGGUGCGCUCAGACCGGUCGGAAAUCGGUCGUAGAGUAUAAAGGCAAAAGCGCGCUUGACUGCGAGACAGACACGUCGAGCAGGUACGAAAGUAGGUCUUAGUGAUCCGGUGGUUCUGUAUGGAAGGGCCAUCGCUCAACGGAUAAAAGGUACUCCGGGGAUAACAGGCUGAUACCGCCCAAGAGUUCAUAUCGACGGCGGUGUUUGGCACCUCGAUGUCGGCUCAUCACAUCCUGGGGCUGAAGCCGGUCCCAAGGGUAUGGCUGUUCGCCAUUUAAAGUGGUACGCGAGCUGGGUUUAGAACGUCGUGAGACAGUUCGGUCCCUAUCUGCCGUGGACGUUUGAGAUUUGAGAGGGGCUGCUCCUAGUACGAGAGGACCGGAGUGGACGAACCUCUGGUGUUCCGGUUGUCACGCCAGUGGCAUUGCCGGGUAGCUAUGUUCGGAAAAGAUAACCGCUGAAAGCAUCUAAGCGGGAAACUUGCCUCAAGAUGAGAUCUCACUGGGAACUUGAUUCCCCUGAAGGGCCGUCGAAGACUACGACGUUGAUAGGCUGGGUGUGUAAGCGUUGUGAGGCGUUGAGCUAACCAGUACUAAUUGCCCGUGAGGCUUGACCAC